UACGUAGGGGGCAAGCGUUGUCCGGAAUCAUUGGGCGUAAAGCGCGUGUAGGCGGCUAGGUAAGUCUGCUCUGAAAGCCCGGGGCUCAACCCCGGGAGGCGGGUGGAUACUGUCUAGCUCGAGUCCGGAAGAGGAGUGUGGAAUUCCUGGUGUAGCGGUGAAAUGCGCAGAUAUCAGGAGGAACACCAAUGGCGAAGGCAGCACUCUGGAACGCAACUGACGCUGAGACGCGAAAGCGUGGGGAGCAAACAGG
rnacentral:rRNA from 1 species